AGACGAUAGCUUAAGAACACCUACCUCUCCGGACGCUCCUCCUGGUGCGGGCAAACGACCUCUCUGGCUGCGGUUUCUGAGGAAACGACCAGGAAAUCCAAGCAUCACCCAUAAGUUUCACGAGGUUCGUCUCCCGAUUUAUUGGCCUGUCUGUCGUGCAGCGAGCAGAGUGAGCUCAGUAACAGUUUUAGAGGAAUGAUGGGAUCCUGAACAAAAUAGAAGAGAGAAAGCAGAGACAGCAGCAUUGCCAGUUCACUUCAAGGAGUAUUGUUAUAAAGGGAAGAGAAGAAAAGGGACAGGAGCUAGAAGGACAUAGAAGUUCAAGCAGAGGAGGAUUUAUCAUGAAGCUAAUAAAGCUUACAUUUCAGGGCUUCUCAUCUGCACCGGCUUCUUCUAUGGCCCUAGGAAGGGCCCUAACAGUGUGUUUCUGUGAAAAUAUGUUUUUGUAAAAUUUCCCAAGAUAAAAUAUUUUAAUGACAAUGAACCAGUGUCUCCUUCCAUUCUAGCUUCCCUCCAUCAAGUGUUCUCUACUUUUGUCUGGCUGCAGACACUGCUGGUAUUUGAGUAAAGGAGAGUUAAGUUAGGAAUACAGGUAAUUUGGGUUCAUGUUUUGUUUUAACUCUGAACAACAAAAGUGUUUUCAAGUAUAACAAAAACAAUGAUUGCAUUGAAUUGAGAAUUACAUUUCUUCUUCUCUACCACUUAAAUCGUGAAGAACUUGAGUGAGGAAAAAAAUAAAACUACCUAUCCAAACCUAAUGUACUGUGAAAAUAGAAGUACCAAGAAUUGCAGAUUUCUGGUCACAAAGUUAUAAACCAAUGCAGUUAUUCUGGGCUCUAGAUGCGUUAAUGUUCAUUUUUUGAAGAAAUGUGUAAUCAUGUGAAGCAAAAUAAAUUUGAGAAAGAAUGUAAGGAUUUAAAACAAGAACUGCUGUGAGAUAAUAAUGAGACAGGCUGGGACCUGGAACCUGAGACCCUUUACUCAGUCCUUGCACCUGGACAAAUGUCUCCUUGAGCAACAGAAUACAAAGAAACUAUAAAGGACUAAAGAUAUCCACACACAUGCACAGUCGGGACAGUUAUGAACAAUAGGAUACAAAAGGCCAAAACCCAGCUGCUACUUCUGAGGUGCCAGGAGCAAAAGCAGGGUACUGCCGUGAUCCCUGCACACAGCACCACCAAGAGGGUGGUCAGACCACCUAAGCCACGCCUCAGGCCCCACCUACAGAUCAACCUAUACCCUCACCCCAUUUAAGGAACCAGCUUACCCCGCCUCAGGGAUUGUGCAAGUGAACCUGUUGCUUGUUUUCACUCCCUCGUGCUGCAGCAGUAGUCCUUAUAAAGUCUUGCGUGAAUUCCUUGUCUGGUCUCGUAUCAAUUUCUAGUGAUCAAAGAGUCCAAGAAACCAGGUCAGUAACAGUAAGGAAGGUGACUCAGCAAAUAUGCAUCCUUUUACAGUAAAUGCCUACUCGGAGAACCAAACCUCUUCGUUAAAUACAGUAAAAUAGAAAAGAAGAAACUAUCAAGAAGUUAUAUUUCCAUUAGAAUUUUUAAGACUUUCUGAAAUAACUUGACAGCCACAAUUUCGUUAAUGUUAAUCUGAACCACUCAGUGGCAAACCAGUAUCUCUGUAAAAUAUAGUAUUGUGUGAACACUACAAUUUGACUACCACUUUGUUGCAGGAAAAUGGGGGGCUCAAGAAGAUGGUCAUGUCCCAGGUUUCAGGCGAGUGAGUCCAUGGGGCAGGCCACCAAGUGAGGGUCCUUGGCCUCCUUUAGGAAAGAAUCCAAGAGCAAGCCACGGUAAAGUGAAAGCAAAUUUAGAGCGAUACACAUUCCACAGGCAGAAUGCAGUCAUCUCAGAAGUCUAGAGCAGCCCUGGGCUGAGGGUGUGGUUAGUUUUAUGGGCUGAGUAAUUCCAUACACGAAUGAGUAGGAGGAAUAUUCUAACUAUUUUGAAGAAGGGGCAGGGAUUUCCAGGACUUGGGCCGCCACCCAAUUUUUGGCCUUUCAUGGUCUGCCUCAGAACUGUCUUGGUGCCUGUGGGUGUGUUAUUUAGCAUGCUAAUGUAUUACAAUGAGCUUCAAGGUCUACUAGAAUUUGAAUCUUCCACCAUCUUGGGCCUAAUUGGUUCUAACUAGUUUAUAUAGUAUCCUCAACAGCUGUGUCAUUCUUUUAAAGGUUGUGCCCUGCCCCCUUUCCUCCUGUCUCAACUUGAUGCACAUUAAGUAGUAAUAAAUGUGAAACUUUAUUUCCAGAAAUACUGAAAUAAAUUUUCCUAAACUGCGGGAUUUGUAUACAACACUUUCCUAGUGUAAUAUACAAAUACAUGGUCGCUCAGCCUCUCCUAGAAGAACAUGAGGGACACAGAACAGCCGCUUUCACAGGGGGCCCAUAUUUUUGUUGCUUACUUACUCUGCUUCACAUUAUAGCAAGGAGCUCCAAGACUACAAACAUGGAGCAGAGUCUGUAACCUUAGAGAGGUUGCUCCCAAACUCACUCUGCUUUUCAUUGUUACUCUUCUCCCUCCUUUCUUCCCAGUUCUAAUCUUUUGUUUUGUACAGGCAUUGGGGGGGGGCGGGGAGUGAAUACUAACAUAAAUAUUUAAAAGAGCAUAAAGUGAAUGUCCCUUCCUACAAGUGGGCAUCUUCGAGGAAAUGCAUUCCUGAAAUCUUGAUCACUAUGAUAGGAGCAGGAGAAUAAGACAUCUGCAUAGCUAGGUGAAUUAAUUUUGAAAUUACCUUCACCUUGCAGUGGUGGGCUUCUUAAAGUGCACCAGACUCCUCCAUCUGUAUGACACAUGUGGAUUCUUGAUAGCCUUACUCAAGUUGUUGCUUUUGGCGUCUCUUCAUUCUUUAGGACCCAAUAGAUGCAUUCUUGAAACAGUUGCAAACCCACAGCUGACGUUUUCCAUUUUAAGAAUGUCUUUUCAUUGUUUUCAUAACAAAACAGCCUUUUUUUUUUUUUUUUUUUUUGCAGUAGUCAGACAAAAGCAUAACUUCUUUUAGAUGUAUUUUUUCACUGCAUAAUGUUUUUCAUCAGGAAAAAAAUGAAAUCUAUAUUUCAAUACUAUUGGAGUCCAAAAUAGACAACCAGGAGAUAUGGAUAUUUUGUCUCCUUACCCUACAGGAUGAAAAUACCCUCACUUAUUUGCCCACUUUAAGUAAUGUGAAGUUUCUAUGAUUGUAGGUAAUUCCACACAAAAUUAUUUGGCAACUCUAAAAAAAAAUUACAAAGAGAUAAAAUAUUUUUGUAUUUUUCUGUUUGUUCAGAUACUUUGCAGAAUUGCUGCAUUAAUUGUGGUUUAUAUUUGGGGGUUAACCAGACAUUAGGGAGAAAUUAAAAGCUUACAAUAAAAGAAGGCAACUAUUAGAUUUCUCCUACUCAGGAGAAAAUGUUUCCUUCAGGGUCUCAACUAUAAUUGAUUUUGAAUUCUGGCAAGUGAUGCAGAAGGAUGAUAGAAAUACUGAUCAAAAUUCACAGGAAGUUGGCAAUGAUUCUCUCUCUGAAAAAAUAUUAUAUUUGAUACACACGAAAGACUAUAUAUACAAUAUGUAUGUAAAUUACAGUGUAAUAAAAGUCACUUACCAAAAUAAGAACAUUACAAAUAUUCAUGAUCUACCUAUACCAUCUCCCUAUCUUACCAAAAAAGGUAACCACUAUCACAAAUUUUUAGUGCUUCGUUAUGUUCUUUUAAAAAAAUUUGUUUACCACUUAUGUAUGUUGUUCUUAACCAAAACAUUGUUUCAUUUACUUGCUUUUGAACUUCAUUUUUUAAAUGGUAUAAUGCAGCAUGGACAUGCCAGCUAUUUGGUUUUUUUCUCACUGAACAGUAUAAUUAUUUUCUAAAAUUUAUAAAUGUUUUGCACAUUAUUAUGUUUGUAUUUUUGCCACUGUAUAGCAUUGCAUUAGUACAAUAUAUUAGAAGUUUUCUAUCCAUUCUGUUAAUGGCAUUUGGGUUAUUACAUGUUUUUCUUUUUAUGUUUUGUGUUUAAAUUGUCAUUUAACAAUUUAAUAAUUCUUCAUUUUUCUUUCAUAGUUGUGAUUUUAUUCAGUCAUGUUCAGAUAUUAUGAAUAAUCUGUAAACAAAUCUUUAAAUUUAAGUACCAAAAAUCUAAAAAGUCAUGUAGGCCAAGGUUAGGGAGCAGUUUUCUUUAGAAGCAAUUCUCUCUCUCCCUCACUAUAUCUAUAAAAUGGCUUGGAGACAGACAUUAAAUAGUUUGAAAUAUUUCAGGCAUAUUAAAUGAAUAACUGUGACUCCAAAUUGCCUUUUAGUUAUACUUCAAGGUAUAGGAUGUGAAAACUGCCCUCCUUAUCAAGACAGUCAAAACCUCUCAAAUAAAUAUCCCCACAUGUUUUGGUUGUAC
rnacentral:lncRNA from 1 species